CCUACGGGGGGCAGCAGUGAGGAAUAUUGGUCAAUGGGCGCGAGCCUGAACCAGCCAAGUAGCGUGAAGGAUGACUGCCCUACGGGUUGUAAACUUCUUUUAUAAAGGAAUAAAGUGAGGCACGUGUGCCUUUUUGUAUGUACUUUAUGAAUAAGGAUCGGCUAACUCCGUGCCAGCAGCCGCGGUAAUACGGAGGAUCCGAGCGUUAUCCGGAUUUAUUGGGUUUAAAGGGAGCGUAGAUGGGUUGUUAAGUCAGUUGUGAAAGGUUGCGGCUCAACCGUAAAACUGCAAUUGAAACUGGCAGCCUCGAGUUGAGUAGAGGUAGGCGGAAUGCGUGGUGUAGCGGUGAAAUGCAUAGAUAUCGCGAAGAACUCCGAUUGCGAAGGCAGCCUACUAGACUGCCACUGACGUUGAGGCUCGAAAGUGUGGGUAUCAAACAGGAUUAGAUACCCUUGUAGUC
rnacentral:rRNA from 1 species